rnacentral:rRNA from 1 species
AGCGAACGCUGGCGGCAGGCCUAACACAUGCAAGUCGAACGAACUCUUCGGAGUUAGUGGCGGACGGGUGAGUAACACGUGGGAACGUGCCUUUAGGUUCGGAAUAACUCAGGGAAACUUGUGCUAAUACCGAAUGUGCCCUUCGGGGGAAAGAUUUAUCGCCUUUAGAGCGGCCCGCGUCUGAUUAGCUAGUUGGUGAGGUAAAGGCUCACCAAGGCGACGAUCAGUAGCUGGUCUGAGAGGAUGAUCAGCCACAUUGGGACUGAGACACGGCCCAAACUCCUACGGGAGGCAGCAGUGGGGAAUCUUGCGCAAUGGGCGAAAGCCUGACGCAGCCAUGCCGCGGGAAUGAUGAAGGUCUUAGGAUGGUAAAAUUCUUUCACCGGGGACGAUAAUGACGGUACCAGGAGAAGAAGCCCCGGCUAACUUCGU